GCCAGCCCGCUCAGAAACUACAAAGGAAGUUGACGGGGCCCGCACAAGCGGUGGAGCAUGUGGUUAAUUCGAUGAUACGCGAGGAACCUUACCUGGGCUCGAACGUAAGAUGACUGUAGGUGAAAGCUUACAUCUCUUCGGAGCAUUUUACGAGGUGCUGCAUGGUUGUCGUCAGCUCGUGCCGUGAGGUGUCGGGUUAAGUCCCAUAACGAGCGCAACCCCUACCUUUAGUUGCCAUCAGGUAAUGCUGGGGACUCUAAAGGAACUGCCUACGCAAGUAGUGAGGAAGGCGGGGAUGACGUCAAAUCAGCACGGCCCUUACGUCCAGGGCUACACACGUGCUACAAUGGCCGAUACAGAGGGCAGCUACCUGGCGACAGGAUGCAAAUCUCCAAAGUCGGUCUCAGUUCGGAUCGGAGUCUGCAACCCGACUCCGUGAAGUUGGAUUCGCUAGUAAUCGCGCAUCAGCCAUGGCGCGGUGAAUACGUUCCCGGGCCUU
rnacentral:rRNA from 1 species